rnacentral:rRNA from 1 species
CGCAACCCUCGACCUUAGUUGCCAGCAUUCAGUUGGCGACUCUAAGGUGACUGCCGGCUAAAAGUCGGAGGAAGGUGGGGAUGACGUCAAAUCAUCAUGCCCCUUAUGACCUGGGCUACACACGUGCUACAAUGGGCGGUACAAAGGGUCGCGAACCCGCGAGGGGGAGCCAAUCCCAAAAAGCCGCUCUCAGUUCGGAUUGCAGGCUGCAACUCGCCUGCAUGAAGCCGGAAUCGCUAGUAAUCGCGGAUCAGCAUGCCGCGGUGAAUACGUUCCCGGGCCUU